rnacentral:rRNA from 1 species
UGCGUAACGCGUAUGCAACCUACCUCCAACUGGGGAAUAGCCCUGGGAAACCGGGAUUAAUACCGCAUAAGAUGGUAGAACCGCAUGGUUCAGCCAUUAAAGUUUUGCGGUUGGAGAUGGGCAUGCGUGCCAUUAGCUAGUUGGCGGGGUAAUAGCCCACCAAGGCGACGAUGGCUAGGGGUUCUGAGAGGAUGAUCCCCCACACUGGUACUGAGAUACGGACCAGACUCCUACGGGAGGCAGCAGUAGGGAAUAUUGGUCAAUGGACGAAAGUCUGAACCAGCCAUGCCGCGUGCAGGAGGAAGGCGCUCUGCGUUGUAAACUGCUUUUGUACGGGAAGAAUAUUUCGUUUGCGAACGAAUUUGACGGUACCGUAAGAAUAAGGAUCGGCUAACUACGUGCCAGCAGCCGCGGUAAUACGUAGGAUACAAGCGUUGUCCGGAUUUAUUGGGUUUAAAGGGUGCGCAGGCGGCCUGAUAAGUCAGUGGUGAAAGCCCGUUGCUUAACAACGGAAUUGCCAUUGAUACUGUCGGGCUUGAGUACAGUUGAGGUUGGCGGAAUGUAUCAUGUAGCGGUGAAAUGCUUAGAUAUGAUACAGAACACCGAUUGCGAAGGCAGCUGACUAAGCUGUUACUGACGCUCAGGCACGAAAGCGUGGGGAUCAAACAGGAUUAGAUACCCUGGUAGUCCACGCUGUAAACGUUGAUAACUCGAUGUUGGCGAUAUACAGUCAGCGUCCAAGCGAAAGCG